rnacentral:miRNA from 1 species
GCGGCCCCUGGGCGCGGAGAG